CGCUGCAAUAUGUGCUAACUGC
rnacentral:siRNA from 1 species